rnacentral:rRNA from 1 species
UACGAGUACCCCAAGCGUUAUCCGGAAUCAUUGGGCGUAAAGGGUGUGUAGGUGGCGAUGUUAGUCUUCUGUUAAAACUUCGGGCUUAACUCGAAGCUUGCAGUGGAAACGGCAUUGCUUGAGGACGCGAGAGGUGAAUGGAACUCAUGGAGUAGGGGUAAUAUCCGUUGAUAUCAUGGGGAACACCAAAAGCGAAGGCAAUUCACUGGCGCAUUCCUGACACUGAAACACGAAAGCGUGGGUAGCGAAUGGG